rnacentral:rRNA from 1 species
UACGUAGGGGGCGAGCGUUGUCCGGAUUUACUGGGCGUAAAGGGUGAGUAGGCGGUUAUAUAUGUCAGGUGUAAAAGGCUAUGGCUUAACCAUGGUUAGCACUUGAAACUGUAUGACUUGAGUGCAGGAGAGGUAAGUGGAAUUCCUAGUGUAGCGGUGAAAUGCGUAGAUAUUAGGAGGAACACCAGUGGCGAAGGCGACUUACUGGACUGUAACUGACGCUGAGUCACGAAAGCGUGGGUAGCAAACAGGAUUAGAUACCCGCGUAGUCCCU